GCCCUGGAAGCUGGUUUCCACCAGGAGGUGCCACUGCGCAUUACCCAUAGAUUCAGCGGCUGGCUCUGCUCCACAUCACGCAUUAGAGGGACUGUGAAAGAAGAACGGGCAGAGUGAAAUUCCUCCCAAGGCGUUUUUAUUCAGCCAUCCUCAAAUUCCCAUCUCCUGCCUGCCAAGAAGUGCAUCCUUUCCCUGUGCAGACUGGAAUACGCUUUUUAUAGUGGGACCAAGACCAGCCCGGAAGGAGCAGAGUGGCUGCUGAUGCUCUACUCUCUAAUUAGGCCCACUCCAGCUUUGUGGAGGAGGCGAGAGCCUGCAUAUGCAAAACAUGUACACAACAAAUGUGCGUCUGCUGUACUGUCAUGUUCCAGUCCAGAAAGACAGCGUUCACCUGCACACCUCUGUGUUCUUUGUGGAGCUCCUAGGAUAUAAAAGCGACUCUCUAUGCCAGGGCAAACAACUGACAUAGAGAUGAAGACAGUGUCAUUGUGGAUGGUGCAGGCCGUGGAAGAUGAAAGAUGACAGUGAAGGGCCUAACCCGUGGCUGUUGGCGCUGAUGCACAGAGCUGGGAGCCAUAGCAAAGUCUCCAGGAGGACAGGGAGGUCACGCAAUACAACAAACCGUAAUGGAGCCAGGUGCCAGAUGGGGAGAACGUCCAUAAACCAGAAGAAGAAGAACUUCAAACAAAUGAAGAGGGUUUGGCAAUUUUUGAGCUCGCAGAAGACCAGCAGCAGGCAGAGGCUGCGUAACACAGGUGAUUCCAUCUCAUCAGUGUAAGGAAAAGCAUUUUUAGAGACUGCACAGAAAGGCACCCAGAAGACAAUAAAGUAAAAACAUCUGGGGCAAUGUAAAAGGUGCGUAGAAUAGACAAAGAGACUGCAAGGUCACAGAUCACCUAGCGGGACAUGGGGAGAUUUCCCCGCUGGGCCAGCGCUCCAGGCCACAUCAGCUUUCCAGGCUCUCCAUACAUGACAAAGCCAUGAGGCUUCCUGACACCACUCCUUCUCCAUUGCCACCUUUGUUCUCUACUGAAGGAUCCAACACUUCCAAAGAAAAGCACUGCUUCACAGGACAGCUGACAGUGAUGGGGGAAGAGGUUCAAGCAAAUAUAAAUAAGUAGGUCUGUCUUGUCUAAAUAAGGUAGGACAAACUGUCACCAAUUCCUUGGGGGUGGUACUGCUGACAGCAGGGAAUGGCAAUGCCAAUGCUCACAGGACACCUGGGUACUGAACCUGUCACCUCUAACAAGGUUCAUAAAAAAUGGCAUUUUUAAGACUGACUUUCCCAAGACAUACAGAAAGGAGCUCCCAGUUCUUCAGGUGAUAACACUAGUGACUGAAUAAGUGCAAAUGUACACUCCUUAAAAAGUGAGCAUGUCCUUCCUUUCUAUGGGUAUAGUUACAUGUCUAGCAAGCCCAGCUGUAGCCCUGGUUACAUUAGAAGACCUCUCACUGACCUCUAGGAACCCCCAUGUUAGGCUCUGGGUUGGAGUAAAAAAUCUCACUGCGAUUCUUACCAACACCAUUUAUGUAAGAGACAUUGAAACUAGCAGGACAGCUCCAGCCCCAGUCUGAUUACCAGCUUAUUUAAUUGUAUGUUUCAAGCACACAGCAAUAAGCUCUAGUGGGACUAGUUAACAGGCCUUGAAUCUGGUCAGGUGAGACAGCACAUGGUAGCAAGCAAAUACAACAGUAAAUGAGACCAGAACUACCUAAAGCUUAAAUGCACUGAAAGGAAAAACUGAAAGGUACACAUAGCUUCCAACACUCACAAGUAGUUUAGGUUAAGGCUUGCAGAAGACACUGUGAUGACAAAAUUCAAUUUAGGCAAGUCUAACCGAACGUUAGUGUUAGAGGACCCGAUAACUAAAAUGAUCUAGAUCAUUUUAUAAAACCGCUACCAUAAAGUCUAGAUUUAAAUUAAUUUUUUUCUUUUAACAGAUUACAGGCACCAUGCUUAAAAGACUCCCAUUGCAUUGUGCCUGAAGGAGAACCCUAGUCACAAACAGACUCUUCAAAAGAUAAAAAAUACCAGCCUAUAUCCAUGCACACAGAGGGAGCAGGGUACUUAAAUUUUUCAGCUAUUUGUAAAAAAUCCCAUCUUGUGACUGUAAUAUCUGUAAGGAUUGUAGCAUACCACUUCAACUUUGUACCAAGUCCCAACACCGAAAGCUUGGGCAUAACAUUACGCUAAUUAUUAUCAGUUCCACUGCUAAUUUUAAAUGUCACAUAUCACUCAAUCACGUUUGACACAAGAGAUCCAGCACCCCCUUAGCAAAGCAAAUAACCUUCACUUCCCCUCUUAGCACUGAAAAA